UCACAAACACUGGCCAAAGUUAGCAUGGUUUAUGUGUUAAAAAAAUGCAAAAACCGCUAACUUUGGCCAGUGUUUGUGA